GCUGUGCUUUUCUGGUCUCAGCUCUGAAGUCCAACCCUUCCCAUCUGACAUAUCUGAAGCUGAGUCAGAACUAUCUGCUGGAUUCAGGAGUGAAGCUGCUGAGAGAACUUCUGGAUAGUCCAGACUACCAACUGGACACUCUAGAGAUCAGAGGCACGCGGAUCAGAUCCAACACAAAUAAUAUAUGUUACUCCGAUGUGGAACAGGAUGUGGAGACAGACUGAGAGGUCCAAGAGGGUUAACUGUUGACCCGUGUCCAUCUCAGCAAGUGUCCAUCUCAACAAUUGUCUAUCUCAACAAGUGUCCAUCUCAGCAAGUGUCCAUCUCAACAAGUGUCCAUCUCAACAAGUGUCCAUCUCAACAAUUGUCUAUCUCAACAAGUGUCCAUCUCAACAAUUGUCCAUCUCAGCAAGUGUCCAUCUCAACAAGUGUCCAUCUCAACAAGUGUCCAUCUCAACAAGUGUCCAUCUCAACAAGUGUGAAGGUUUUUGGUGGAACGUUUAUGGCAGAGAAGUUAUUUAAUAUUUAAGUUUCAUAUAAGCAUGUCUGCUUAUUAAUCUGUCAUCCCACCCAGAACAUACAAUAUGCAAUGCAGCCAAACAAUACUGUAAUGUAAAGCGUCUUUGAGAACUCGGAAAAGCGCUGUAUAAAAUAAAUGCAGGAUUACCUUAAUACUGGGAUGAGCGGAAGCAUGCAUGCAUCCAAAUCCUCGUUUCCCUCGUUUGUCACGCUGUGUUUCUGUUCACCUGGUUUGCAACUUGUUCUCAAUAGAAUCCAUUUUCUCUCUACAAACACUUGCUAACUAACAUUAAAUGGAGAAGCUAUCCGUUCGUAACCAAGCUAGAGAAAGUAAAAAGUGCCAGGUUGGUCGUAGUAUCCUCCAAUUGAAAUGCUCCAAUUUAGCAAAUAUAAAUAAUUGUUUUUCAUGAGCAAGCACAUGAUAACAUAUUUUUAAUGACCUUAAGUUUAUUUUUUAUAUACUAUCCAAUGAUGUAUCUACCCGUCCAAGAGCACAUUCGCUAUGUAGUGCUGGAUAGACCGCCAGAAAUGGCAACUCUGCAGUGAGUCAGUGUUUAAAUAUAUUUUUUCUUGUCUAUUUUUACAUCUUUUAUCAACUAUUAUUGUAUUUUAUUUGUAGGCUAAUAGAGCGAACACGUUCAGUGUUUUAAUGGGUUAUAUGUAAAAGCCCUGCUUGUUUUUUAUGUUUAUGCACAUAAUCAUAUAUAUCACCCCUUUAUUUAGCCUAUUGCCAUGCGAGCCACCAACCGCGCAAUAGAGUUUUGCAGUGAUGAGUCCUAAAACCCGGAAGUGAGUUUGCAUUUUUCCACUUCCUGUUCCCUCGUCUCAGAGCC